AGUUUGUAGGAGGAGUUUUCAUUCUACCCUGAUUAUUUUAUGAGGCUGCAGGACCCUUGACCCUCUGCCUGGACAGGGCUGAUUGGCCUGUGCUGGUCACAUGCACACUUCCAAGAACCCCCCCCCCCCCCCCUCAGCUCUUUUCUAUCAGGAGAUAGUUUGGGGACUGUGGAACUAGGGGUGGAUCAGAGAAGACAGAAUUUUUACACAACGCAAAAGGAUUAGCCCCUUAGGUUGCACAGUGAGUAUAAGAAGCAUAUUUUACUGCAUAUACAGACUGAUGUUAUUCUUGUGGGUUUACUAACACUUUAAAGCCUGAAGUAGUAACCUCACCUAUAGACUUCAAUAGCCCAUCUGUUGUCUGCUCUUUCUCAAGUGUAUAUAUCUUUCUUACACAGGUUAGUUGGCAUAUGUGUUAGGGGGAAGAGGAAACAGUUUAGGAUUAGUUAGUUGUAGGCUGGAAUUCCACUUUAAGCAUUUUUCAUUGUAUAGCUGCUUUUUAACAUUAUUUUGACUAUAUAACCAUAAAACUAGAGCAAGUGGUCCAUUUAGUUUGCCAAUUUCAAAUUUCCAUAAAUAUUACCGGGUGAAUCAUCCAUAUGUUUCCUAUAUCUGUAGGAAACUCUGGUGAUGUGCUUUACAGGCAUGGGUUUUUUAGCUCCACCCACCUGUUAAAGCCAUAACAAACCAUUCUGACACUGGUCACAGUAUUCUCUACUGGUUUUACCUUAAAAUGAAACUCCUUUGCUUUCCUUGGUAAUCAUGCCAUUGUAAUUUCUAAGAGAUAUCAAGAAAAAUUAGACAGGUCACUCAAUCAAUUGAUGGACCCUCGAAACCAAAGAAGUAGUUUGGGUGUAUCUGUCUUGAAAUGCUUUAUGUAGGCACAGACCUUAUUUCGACAUGAUAUUGUUUAAAGUAUUCCCAAUACACUGCUGGUUGUGGGCUCCAGGCAAAUACGUGACCUUCGGUAAAAUUAGGAGAACAGGGUCAUAUUAUUCAGUAUGCAAGUGAGAACUGAGUUAUGGUAGAUAGAACAAAAUAUGAGCUAGUGUCAGUAGCAUCCUUUCUUUUUAGAAAAGUAAAUAAAAAAAAAAAACAGGGCUUAUGUGCUGUUGGUAAGAGCUCCAUUUUUGUAAUUAUGUUUUCUCAAUUUUUUAUAAAUCAUUCCCAAGGUAUGCCAUUUAUGUUAUACACAACAUGGCUAAUGUUUCAACUACUGUCUUUGCCUUCUGUUGACAAAAAUGGUUAUUUUUUUAUGCAUAUGUGAAUUCUCCACAUGUGGAGCCAUUACACAGCAGAAGAAAAGAGACAUAGCUUUUUGAGAGCCAGGGAUUCAAAUCAGCAAUGCCCACACCACACAAGUAAAAUAUAACCCACUUUUUUAUUUGUGCUUGGGAGUCUACAGUCACUAUGGCAGUCAAGCACUGCAAUACAAGAGCUAUGCAGUUGCACUUAAAUUAAUAAAGUAUCAUAGGAUAAUCCUGCAGCAGCCUCUUGUAUUGGGAGUUUAGAUCAGAAAAUGUUCACUUUCAUGCAUGAGGCUAAAUGCUACAACAGUUGUCUGAAAUAUGAUUUAUUUCACAGUGAACAGUUAAGUCUGAAAAAGGACCUUAUAUAGCUACAUAAGAGUGAAUGUCAAGUUUGUUAUGUCUUUGGUGACCUUUAACUGGGUCUUUUCUUCAGUUUGUACAUUGGAACUGGGUAACGUCUGGAUUAGAGAUAUUUGUAUGCUAUAUAAUGCUUAUGUUAUACCACAUCCCAAUUUUCAUGACAUCAAUGAAGAGUUUCUAGGUGUUGUUAUAUAUGUGUGUGAAGAUUUUUUUUUUCUUAUUUCACAACAAUAUUUGCAACUUUUGAUAUUGUGUUAGAAAAUAUUUUGAUUCCUUGUACCUGUUUGUGGUAGCUAAUCCUCCUAAAGCCCUGUACACAUGAUCGGAAUUUCGCCCGGCCAAACUCGCAUCGGAAUUCUGGCGGAAUUCCAUUGGAGUAAAAGAGAACAUGUUCUCUAUCUAAACUUUGAUGGAAUUCCUAGGAAUAUCCAAUGGAAAAACUCAGAUGGGGCAUACACUGAGUCAGAAUUUUCAAUGGAAAAUGUCUAUCUGACUUUUUCCAUUAGAAAUUCAGAUCGUGUGUACGGGGCAUAAUUGUUAAAAUAUGUAGUCCUUAAAGGUAUGUCUUGCUACAUUAUAUUUGAAUAAGGUAUGAAAAGAAAAGGUAUGACCAGGUAUGGUUUUAAUAUUGGAUCUACAUAAACAAUUGUUGCCUUACUUAGUGUAUUACUAAAUGCAAAACUUGUAUUUUGUUAGGAUAGAGUGGAGAGGGAUUAGAACACCUAAGUUGUCAUGAAAACAGGAAUAACGAGGAAAUCUUCCAAGGGGGGUGGGGGGGGUGACCCCGGUGACAAACAGAGAUCCCUUUGGAGGGAUUUUCUGUAACUUCCUGUUUUUGCUGUGGAACAGAAAUGUGGGGGCAAAUCAACACGUAUGACAAAAACAAACUCCAUUUUAACAAACUCGAUAUACAGUAGGAUCCUAAAAAUGGGAACCCAUCAGCCACUAAUCCCACACUAAUGCAGAGAAAAGCCUAUAUAUAUAUUAAUUCUCUAAAAAAAGUGUAAACAUGAUUGGUUAAAGCCCAGACCAACAUUGUAGGUAUCAUUAGGCUUUAAUAUGACCAGGAUUUAUUUCAUCUUUCUGUGCUAGCAAACUAUAUUUUGAAUUGCUUUUAGCUUCACCUAUUUGUAAAUACAAAAUGCAUUUUGCUAUGAAUUACCUUUUGGGGGUUCAUGUUUUUGCACAAUAAGUCUUACUUACUAAGCUAGUUAUUGACUUCAUGAAGUCACAUUUGAAUUUUCCUAAUUUUCUCAUAAUCUCAUAAUCUCAAGUCUCAUAAUCAAUAGGCUUCAUACUUGGGUUUUAGAGUCUAGGUAUUCGGUGAUGAAUGUGUGAGUCCUUUCACCCCCUUAGAGGUAUAUGCAUUAAGUGCUGAAAGCUGUUCUAAGUUGCUACUGUAACUGAAGAAGGUGCACACACUGCAUAAACCCCACUUUAAACUGUAGGUCUGCUUAAACAUUUUUCAAGAUAUUACUAUAUUAUCUGUUGAAUUUGACUGAUAGUUAUCAGUGCUGGCAUUAUUUACUAUAACUACAAACAUUUCAGUGUAUCUUGCUAUUGUAACAACAGCUUGUUCCUAAUUUGCUGACAAGGUUUCUAAGAAUCCUUACUUCCCUAUUCCUGUAAUUGCCUCACUACCCUCACAGAAGUGUGCAGGGAACUUAAGUCUAUCUACAGGCAGCACGUGUUGCAUGGAAUAUGACAGUACUGGCAAUUAUCUCAAGUUGAUUGCUGUACAAGUUUAAUCUGUACAUUUAUUUUUGCAAGUCUACAGUUGUGAGAGGCAUAUAGUGUUUCUUGCUAUAAUACGGGACAGAUCUUGUGAUUACGAAAGAAAGAAAAAUUCCACCUAGCACUCAUUUGAGAGGUUUUACACUGCAGUAGCCCAUCAUAGUAGCUACAAAACAUAAACAGAUUUGUUCAAAGCUAGGAGCUAGGGCACACAGUAUAAUAUAUAUAUAUAUAUAUAUAUAUAUAUAUAUAUAUCACCCCAAAGAAGCAAUCUUCUUCUUCAAAACUGUUGCUCUCCUAUAGCUUUGUUCUAUACUCUGCAUGCAAUUCAGUUACAAACAGACUUCUUAAUUUACCACAGUGCCCCAUAUGAAUUACUAGAAAAAAUAUAUUACAUCACUACUAACACAAAGCUAGAUAAAUCUUGCAGUCUGCAUACAAGUUAUGACUGCAUUGUGUAGUACAUUCUUGUUUCUAAUGUAUACACCUGUAUAAAAAUAAUUCAUAGGUAAGGAACAAGAAUACUAUUACUACUACUACUAAUUCAUUUUUUCAUUUAACUCUACAGUUUAAUUCAUUUUUUUUAAAAGACCAUGACCUAAAACCAUUGAUUUUUAUUUAUUUUUUUGCUGGGUCAUGAUGGUUUAAAGCUGAGCAUUUACAAAAACGGGAGAAUUCCCCCAGGGGGUUUUGUAGCGAUAUGGUGUAAUAGUCAAUGAGAUUAAAAAUAAUAUAAUGUGAUCUUUUAUUGUGCAGCGAAUGCAAAUGCAAAUUGUUAUUAAAUUCUUAAAAAAUUAUUCUGGUUACAGACAGUUUAAAAGAUGUACAAUCAAUAUUAACAAAUGUUUAACAAUACAAUACAUUGUAUACAAUUGUGAAAUUGGUGUCCAUAUAAAUACCCUGACACGUUUCAACCAAUGCUGUCAUGGUUAUCUUCAGGGGGUUUUACACUCUGGUGAGAUAUAUCAGAAAAAAAUAUUAAGACUCUGACAUUCUAAAAGCUGAGCAAUUUAUGCCCUGUUUUUAAUACCCAUGUUGUGAGAUUUCCAUGGAAAUCCGAUCCGCUUGUGUGUCAGACCCAUUUGUCUCAAUGGUAGUCCUCUGCCACGCAGACAUGGGAAUAUACCAUGAACACUGUGGAUUAUAGAUCAUAAAAUGUAUGUUAAAUCUUUAUGUCUAGAAAAUAGGGGGUAGAUUUGCAUUUUUGUCUCAUUACACUCUACCCAAACUAUCCUGUGAAUAAAGGCUUUUCAAAAUAGUUGCCAUUGGGCAUCAUGUGUACAGUGUGGCUAAUUUGAUGGCAUGUUCUCCUGCUGGUGCCUUUCAUAAAAUAGUUUACUAGUUCUACAGUCUCGGCAUUUAAGAAAACGUGCAAGGCCAUCUUAAUUGUUAAAACAAUUGUGCCCAAGACUAGGUAUCUGCUAUUAUCUUUAUUAGCCUGAAAACUUUCCUCUGUGUACCCCUUAUAUAUUUUCACUUUGUUACUUGGGACUUGGCUUUUUUUUCUAUCAGAUAAACAUAGUCCACCUUUCACCUUCCUGCCCAAAGCGAGUGACCGCAGUUAAAAUAAAACAUUCUAACAAUACUUUUAUUGGGUAGUGGAUGGUCCAUAAUAUGCAGGUAGAUGGAGCUUAGUCCAUAAUACUGAAAAGUCAAGCCCCUAGUAACUAAGUGAAGCUAAAUCUGGUAGG